rnacentral:SRP_RNA from 1 species
GCCAGGCGUGGUGGCACAUGCCUGAAGUCCUAGCUACUCCAGAGGCUGAGGUGGGAGGAUCACUUGAGCCCAGGAGUUCUGGGCUGCAGUGCGCUAUGCCAAUCAGGUGUCCACACUAAGUUCGGCAUCAAUAUGGUUACCUCCUGGGUGCGGGGGACCAUCAGGUUGUCUAAGUAGGGGUGAACCGGCCCAGGUUGGAAACAGAGCAGGUCAAAGCUCCCACGCUGAUCAGUAGUGGGAUCGUGCCUGUGAAUAGCCACUGCACUCCAGCCUGGGCAACAUAGCGAGACCCUAUCUCU